UUGUGCAUCUCGGUUGAAGCAAGGUGAUACUUGUCCGAGAGCCUUCUUUGGUAGAAGUACCUAAAGUAGCUAACAAGAGGCAUGGUGAUAGCCCUGCCGGAAAGUUAUCCGAAACUCGUGAGAGAUGGAGGAACUAGUAAAAGCUAGUGUGAAAGUGGAGGUGUGUCACAAUAACAUAAUCAUAGAGCAGAGGUCUUUUCGUUGGAUAGAAGUAAGCACAUGCCGACAGGAUGAUGACUUUGCCAGAUAAGGAGAAGUGCGAUAGCUUACUCAAACUCUGGAAUAAAUCAAACAAUCCAAUUUGCCGUGAACAGAAGAAAUUCUGGUAUAAGAAAAGCGCUUAGUAUGAGUAGCACAAGGCAAACAAACAGAUAACUAUUUACAAUCUAUGUAAAACAAAUCUGUAUCGUGUGAAAGUUGGUGGGUUUCGUUCCCAGCCCUAACAUUAAAAGCAAUAGGAGCUUAAAGAGUUGCUACUUUAAGUAGAGCCUAUUGGGUUAGUCGCUUAAUAAUGAGAGUGUUAUUGUGGUUGGAGAAAAACCGCACAAUUA
rnacentral:sRNA from 1 species